rnacentral:rRNA from 1 species
AGAGUUUGAUCCUGGCUCAGGACGAACGCUGGCGGCGUGCUUAACACAUGCAAGUCGAACGAGACGAUUGAAAGCUUGCUUUUGAAAGUCGAGUGGCAAACGGGUGAGUAACGCGUAGACAACCUGCCGUAAAGAUGGGGACAACAGUCCGAAAGGACUGCUAAUACCGAAUGUUGUGGAACUUCCGCAUGGGAGCUCUACUAAAGAUGGCCUCUACUUGUAAGCUAUCGCUUUACGAUGGGUCUGCGUCUGAUUAGCUAGUUGGUGGGGUAACGGCCUACCAAGGCGACGAUCAGUAGCCGGUCUGAGAGGAUGAACGGCCACAUUGGAACUGAGACACGGUCCAGACUCCUACGGGAGGCAGCAGUGGGGAAUCUUCCGCAAUGGGCGCAAGCCUGACGGAGCAACGCCGCGUGAGUGAAGAAGGGUUUCGACUCGUAAAGCUCUGUUGUCGGGGACGAAUGUGGAGAUGGUGAAUAACCAUUUUCAAUGACGGUACCUGACGAGGAAGCCACGGCUAACUACGUGCCAGCAGCCGCGGUAAUACGUAGGUGGCGAGCGUUGUCCGGAAUUAUUGGGCGUAAAGGGAGCGCAGGCGGGAGAUCAAGUCUAUCUUAAAAGUGCGGGGCUCAACCCCGUGAGGGGAUGGAAACUGGUCUUCUUGAGUGCAGGAGAGGAAAGCGGAAUUCCUAGUGUAGCGGUGAAAUGCGUAGAUAUUAGGAGGAACACCAGUGGCGAAGGCGGCUUUCUGGACUGUAACUGACGCUGAGGCUCGAAAGCGUGGGGAGCGAACAGGAUUAGAUACCCUGGUAGUCCACGCCGUAAACGAUGAAUGCUAGGUGUAGGAGGUAUCGACCCCUCCUGUGCCGGAGUUAACGCAAUAAGCAUUCCGCCUGGGGAGUACGGCCGCAAGGCUGAAACUCAAAGGAAUUGACGGGGGCCCGCACAAGCGGUGGAGUAUGUGGUUUAA